rnacentral:rRNA from 1 species
GCAAAUGUAGGCAUAAGUAACGAUAAGGCAGGCGAGAAACCUGCCCACCGAUAGACUAAGGUUUCCUGAUCAACGCUAAUCGGAUCAGGGUUAGUCGGGACCUAAGGCGAACCCGAAAGGGGUAGUCGAUGGAUAACAGGUUAAUAUUCCUGUACUAGCAUAUAUUGCGAUGGGGUGACGGAGUAGUGAAAGGUCUGCGUACUGACGGAAUA